rnacentral:rRNA from 1 species
UACGUAGGCAGCAAGCGUUGUUCGGAGUUACUGGGCGUAAAGGGCGCGUAGGCGGCGCGAUAAGUUGGGCGUGAAAGGCCCGGGCUCAACCCGGGGACUGCGCUUGAUACUGUCGCGCUGUGAGUCCGGGAGAGGAUGGCGGAAUUCCCAGUGUAGAGGUGAAAUUCGUAGAUAUUGGGAAGAACACCGGUGGCGAAGGCGGCCAUCUGGACCGGCACUGACGCUGAGGCGCGAAAGCGUGGGGAGCAAACAGG